rnacentral:lncRNA from 1 species
ACAACAAACAGGCCGGGAGGAGGGACGGGAGGCCAGGAGAGCUCCACGUUCCGUGAAACCUUUGCAGAGGGGGACCUCAGAACCCUGGGACCUGGAUUUGGGACCUGACUCAGCCCUCAUAUGCGGUGUGAGCUCAACGCAUGAACACUGAGCUGCCUGGGUCUGCGGUGCCUCGAAACAGCAGUGGCCACUGUCUAGGGAGCAUCUCCCCGCAGCGCACUGGGUGUGCAGAGGCUGGGAAAACCCAGGAAGCAGGGUUAUUUGUCCUUAUUUCAUAAACAAAGAAAUGGAGCCCCUGAGAGCCACAGUGACAUGCCUGAGAGCAUCAACCUGGGCGGCGUCCAGGAUGGGCUCAAACCCAG